AUGAAUAGAGAGAUUGCCUCUAGAACAAUUAGUGAACACUUAUUAAGGACGGGGGAAUGGAAAAAUGCGGAGAGAGACCAGAGCUGCACUGUUAUUGCAAAGACUUUAUUCACUGUGAGUGGUUAUUACAACAAGGUGUUUGGCUCCGGUACAAAACUCAUUGUAUCAGACAAACAACAGUCUGGACCGGCAAACUUUGAAAUCCUGCAGAAGGAACAUAAAAAUCAGAUAAUGUAUGUUUGCCUUAUUGAGAAAUUCUACCCAGAUGUUAUUCGGGUGACAUGGACCGAUGAAGCAGGCAAAAUAGUAGAAAACGGCAUAGUAAAAGGAGACGCCUGGAAGCCCACAAAAGAGGAUAACUACUCAAUCAGCAGCUGGUUAACUGUAAAGAAAGACGCAGAGACGAAAAACAAGAACUAUUAUUGCAAUUACGAGCAUGAAAGCGGAAACGACAGAGUACCAAAACAAGAUUCUUCAAAGACUGUUUCUCAGGAAGAGGACUGCAGCACAUACCCUGGAAACAGCACAGUUGUUUUCAGUAGAGAUCCCUUGUAUCACAGGACAGCGUAUUUAGUGUACAUCGUCCUUCUUCUGAAGAGCUCCAUGUACUACCUCAUUGUACUCUUCUUCAUCUACAGAGCAUGGGCUACAACGAAGCACCGAGGAAAGAAAGCGUAAAUGCUGGUUUAGGAAAGACAACAUUGUCUUCAAUUUGCUUUGCUAUAUACUUAUCCAUAUAGAUUCCCCUGCUCUCAGUGUUGUAUGGAACAACAACAAAAAAGAUCCCCAAAAUAAUGUUCUGGUAUCAGUGCAUAAGGCUUGUUUUGCCCUACUGCUGGUGUUUUCCUAUUUUUUCUGAGUAUUGAACUGAGGUAGGCAAUAGAAGUAAGGUUAGAUACCUUAGAUUUUAAUCCAAAGUCCAUACUGCACAAUGAGGAAGGUACACAUGUUAAAAGUAGUUAUUAAUGCAGAAGUUUAGAGGUGUAACAAGGCUUUUGACAUAUUAACCACAGAUGCAUUUUGUCAUUGCGCUUAAGGCUUAAUUAGGAGCAUUCCUGUGCUGUAAAUUCACGGGUAUUUGUUCAUUUUUACUAUGAAUGAUUUAUUGCAGUCUCACAUAUCCACCAAAUCAUGACUUAAAUAUUUUGAAAUUAUGUGUGCUUUAAGAGUCAAACGCAAUUUUAAAAAGUGAACAUAGUAUUGUUGAAUGAAGUUAGACAAGCAUAAAAGCAAUUCUCACUGUAUCUAUAAUGAUGUAGAAGGCAAUAAAAGCUAUCCUCCAGGUGCA